UUACUCAAUAUCGAACGAACGUAUCUCC
rnacentral:sRNA from 1 species